UACAGAGGUCUCAAGCGUUGUUCGGAUUCAUUGGGCGUAAAGGGUGCGUAGGUGGCGCCGUAAGUCGGGUGUGAAAUUUCGGAGCUUAACUCCGAAACUGCAUUCGAUACUGCGGUGCUUGAGGACUGGAGAGGAGACUGGAAUUCAUGGUGUAGCAGUGAAAUGCGUAGAGAUCAUGAGGAAGACCAGUGGCGAAGGCGGGUCUCCGGACAGUUCCUGACACUGAGGCACGAAGGCCAGGGGAGCAAACGGG
rnacentral:rRNA from 1 species